rnacentral:rRNA from 1 species
UACGUAGGGUGCAAGCGUUGCCCGGAUUCAUUGGGCGUAAAGCGCGCGCAGGUGGUGGUGCAAGUCCUGUGUGAAAUCUCCCGGCUCAACCGGGAGGGGUCAUGGGAGACUGCACGACUGGAGCCUGGGAGGGGAAAGCGGAAUUCCCGGUGUAGUGGUGGAAUGCGUAGAUAUCGGGAGGAACACCAGUGGCGAAGGCGGCUUUCUGGACCAGAGCUGACACUGAGGCGCGAAAGCGUGGGGAGCGAUCCGG